rnacentral:lncRNA from 1 species
AUGUGGCGAGCUCUUCCACAUUGGCGAUGGGGGCGCAGAUUCCUGAGGGGCUUGGAGCUGGUGGCAGCACUGACGGCCCCCCCUGGACUGGUGACGCCUGUGUCGCAGGGCAUCUUGUGGGGGAAAUGCCUGCGCUCCGUGUUGACAGCACCUCAGUCGUCAGGCGCCCACGGCAGCUGCACUGGUUGGCCACGGACUCUUCCAAAGCUUUGCCCUCCUCACGUGCUUUGCUGCGGGAGUCUGCGUCCCCACAGUCCUUUCCCUUGUAUCUUCCCCCAGCUGAGGUGGGAUCUGCUGUCUGGACCCUGGGGUGCUGACGCUGAACUGGGAAGACACAGCGGGCUCCAUGUGUCCUCUCCAGGCAGGGUGGCUGAGCUGCCACUGCCCAGGGCCGAGCCCUGCCAGCCCCGCGCUGCUGGGGAUCGGGCAGGUCCUCAGGGGCAUGGGACAAGCCUGCCCCAGCAGCAUAAGGUGGCUGAGGGAGGUGCCAGGCGUCUUCCUGCACACGGGAACGGCUGUGCCGGGGCAGGAAAGGGCUGGAGUCCAAGCCAGACUGGUGGAAUCGGCCACUGGCAAAUGCGCCCUUGCUCAACCUGCAAGGAGGAAGGAGGUGAGAGGAGAUCCCAGGUCUCCUUUCUGUGCCCAGGAGCAACUGCCAGAGGCUGGGAGGCCCUGAAGUGUCCCAUCCCGGCUGACCAGGACAAGCCUGGCUCUCCCCGGCUCUGUGCACUCUCGGGCUUCCUGGCGCGGGGCUCCCAGAGGGACAGCCCUGCCGCGGGUAAGGGCUCCACUUACCCUGCCUUCUGGCUUGCUGCAGGCUCCUCGGUGUCUUCCUCGGGCAGGAAGGAGGCUGCUGCAAGAGGAGGCAGAGAGAGAGUGAGUGGGGGAGGGAGGGCAGCCCCUCCGUGGAGGCCCAGCCAGGGCAGAGGCUGGUGGACACGGGCGGUGGGGGGAUUUCUUGGCAGGCAGCUGCUGCAGAGCCUGGUGCAGCUGUGGCACGGAGGUCGCUUACCUCUCUGUUUCUCAUUCCUGCUUCUCUGA